rnacentral:tRNA from 1 species
GGAGGCACUGUAGUUCAGUGGGACAACAUUUGCUCUGCCUGUAGAAGGUUCCAGGUUCAAACCUUGGCAUCUCCA